GUUUGUUUGUUUGUUUGUUUGCAGUAAGCAGAUCAAUUGCGUCAACAGCAUCACACAAACUUACCUACCAGGUCACAUUGAAUACAGCCCAUGAGGAAGGUAACAUUUCUGAAGGAAUAUACCAUUCAUCUUUAUUUUUUUUUCCUCAAAGUCACAGCAGUAUCCUUACCCGCUCUGUUUCAAAAAGAAAAGAUCAGAGAUGCAUUUUUCCUUCUCUUCUCUACUCGUGUUGGAACAAGUAUUUAAGCGUAAAGCAACUGCUUCAGCUCAAACAACGUUCUCAUAAUAGUUGUGUUUUGGGUCAAAGUAAAACAACACAGUGUUUGAUUUUUAUUUUGGCAAAUGACCAGAAGAUGUUUGGCUACUGUGUUUGCUUCCAGGAGACCUUUCGGAAAGACUGCAGCUAAAAUGUCUGUCCUUUCCUGGACACGAUUACAGGACAGUAAGUUGCCUGAUUCACAUUGCAAAAAACAGUUUUCUGAGCUCAUCUUUAAGAGAUUUGAGCAGUUCCACACUGUGGAGAAGAGCUAUGGAGAACACAGGAGAUCCAUUUUAUUUUGGCGGGUUGGAUUCAGUUUUUCCAGGGGAUACAAUGGAUGAGAGGAAUAAAUUAAAUAUGACCAUAACAAAAAUAAUAGUGUUCUUCGGUAUGUAACCACGCACGCAGACCUCUUCAGUAUGAAGUGUUGAGAGAAGUCUACAAAGCAUGGCUUACAUUACAUGCCGUAUCUGCUUCUGCCUCAACAGCAGGAAGACAAACCAGCUAUGGACCCUUCCUAGAAGGCCCGCUGUCCAAAAGAUGCAUGAGAUUUGUAGGCAACACUAACUAAGGCCUCUCAUCUAACAGACAGUGCUGCAGACAUCUUGUGUCCCAGGGAGUUGGGUAUGAGGCAAGGAGAUUAAGUCACUCAGUAUUUCUCCUGGACCUAAGCUUCACUGAAGUCAUCACCAAAGACACGUCCAAGUUAGGCAGUCAGCUCCAUAGAAGUACUGCUUUAUUGGCACAGAUCACAGUGCUCAAACUGUCUGUUAAACAUUGCUGUCUGAUAGUAGAGGUUUAUUUCUUUCUCCUUGACCGUAUUAAGAAAUCUCCCGUUCUCUUCUUGAUGUAGGCAGAUCAAGCCAAAAGCCCUAUCUUUGACUGAACUUUGAGUGACUUAAAUAUCUGCCAUUGGCACAGACUGGAAGAUAGAUCUUGUUGCCUGUGUUAAAAGAACUGUCCUUGAUCCAGCUCAGGAAAGGGUGCCAGUACGCUCAGCAUCUGAAACACCUCGGUCGUCUAGGUGACCUUGACAGGAUCCAAUGGAAGGAAUGUGUUCAGUGUAAGAAGAUGCACUAUCAAACACAGCUGACAAUCAAGGUGUCCUUAUCUGUCAGUCCCAGAAAGAUCGUGGGUUGCCCUGCCAGGAACUGGUGGAACAUCAGGAGCAGCAGCACAAGGCAGCCUGCUGCUGUCCCAGACCCCAUGGGCUCCCACAGCGCAGCCACUUCUCUUGAACUCCUCUGUGGCUGAGAUAGAAGAACACUCUGGAAGUCCUGGGAACCUCCUCUCCAUCUCUGUCACACCAGCUGUUCCCAUCCACGCUUUGCCCCGUCUCACUGCACAUUCCAGCAGUGAGCCCAAGCUGCCUCACUCAGCAGCUCAGAAACGGGAGGAAUUUGACAAGGAGGCAGAAGUGCACUGGGUAUGAAGUGCUGGGCGUCACUGCCAGCCCCCAUUCUGACAGGAAUGUUUCUCUCACUGCUUGAAGAACAACCCUGCGUCCAGAGAGCGUCCCAGCUCCCGAGGGAGGAGGAGGAACAAAACAGAAAGCAAGCAUCCUCCCUUUCCCUUUGCUCAGAUUUCAG
ensembl:lncRNA